UUCACAUAUUUUAUUACCCAUUCGGAGUACCAGCGAAACCAACAUUCCUCUAUUUGGUCAAGCAAAAAUGGCCGGAUGCAGAAAAAACAGACCAAGAUUAUAAUCCAUGGCGGUGUCGUCUUUUCGAAGACAGUUGUCGUGAUGGUUCGCUUCUUGGAAACAUUU
rnacentral:snoRNA from 1 species